rnacentral:rRNA from 1 species
AGUGAACGCUGGCGGUAGGCCUAACACAUGCAACUCGAACGGCAGCACAGUAAGAGCUUGCUCUUACGGGUGGCGAGUGGCGGACGGGUGAGGAAUACAUCGGAAUCUACUUUUUCGUGGGGGAUAACGUAGGGAAACUUACGCUAAUACCGCAUACGACCUACGGGUGAAAGCAGGGGAUCUUCGGACCUUGCGCGAUUGAAUGAGCCGAUGUCGGAUUAGCUAGUUGGCGGGGUAAAGGCCCACCAAGGCGACGAUCCGUAGCUGGUCUGAGAGGAUGAACAGGCAAAAUGGAAAUGAGGAAAGGGCCAAAAUCCUAAGGGAGGCAGCAGUGGGGAAUAUUGGACAAUGGGCGCAAGCCUGAUCCAGCCAUACCGCGUGGGUGAAGAAGGCCUUCGGGUUGUAAAGCCCUUUUGUUGGGAAAGAAAAGCAGCAGGUUAAUACCCCGCUGUUCUGACGGUACCCAAAGAAUAAGCACCGGCUAACUUCGUG